AAAAACAAAUGCCCUGUGGGAAACUGGACUUGCCCCAGAUCAAGGUAACAGGCAGCACCCCAUAGGAUAGGUGGCCAAGGACACAGGCUCUGUCCCUGCGCCAUCCAACUUGGGGCCACAGGCCAUGGCACCGGAAGUGCGGCUAGUCUGAUCCGAGAUAAAAGCACAACACAUGCUGGAUUCUCAUGACUUAGGCAAAAAGAAUGCAAGGUAUCUCAUGAUCAAUCUUCGCAGUGAUUGCAGAACGGCUGGGACAUACUCGUUUAAGUAAGAUAUUAAUUCAGCCUGUGAUUUUAGUUUUUAAAGUGUAGCUACUAGAAAAUUUCCCAGGACCCAGCCUCCAUCCAACCAUCGGCAAAGAAGGACUCAGAGCUGGACCUAACCGUGGCAGCCCCACCGCAGGGACACUGCCUCCUCUUCGCUGUUAGGAGUACCACUCAUGUCAGCAGUUGUGAAGCAUUUGUGUGGAUGUGUUUUCACUCCUCGGAGGUCCUUUCUACUGACCACAUCCAGGAUUGUCCACAGAUGCCAGUGUCAUAAAGACAAAACAGUCAUCUUCUUACCUGGUGCCUGUAAUUAUACCAGCCAUUGGAGCCUGCGACAAUCACCACCCAGUGCUUGCCGCCAUCCUCCGGGUCAUCAUCUACACUGGUGGGCAGAGCGCCGGAGCCCAGGACCAGGCUCAGCAGUGCAGCAACCUUCCACAGCAUUCUGUACCUUGGAGUCCAACUGCAGACCGGAGAAGCACAUGGCAGAGUCAAAGAAAAAACACGAACAGGGAACACUGUUGUCCUCAAAAUAACCAUCACAAUAAAUGCACCAAAAAUGCAGGAUUUAUGCAGAGGGAAACCACAAACACCAAGAAGAAUUGUGUGUCCCCUGUGCCAUCCCCUCUCCUAUGUGGACACAGAGGCUGUCUCUGUCCCUGUCUCCCUAACUAUUCUGCAAAUGGAAGUUUCGUCCAAAACGUGCUUUUAGCUCCUUUGAAAAUUUUUAUCACAACCCCAAAAUACAGCAGAUAAAAUUCAUCAACAUAAUUCACUGCACUGGCAAAACUUUACCAUGUACUACGAAUUGUUUAUAAGAAAUAAAAUACUGGUAAUACAAACUAUGCCCAAAAAAUGUGAAAAGCAAACAAAAUUUAAUAGUAGUUACUGAAUGAAAAUGUAAUAGUGGUGAAUGGGAUUAAGGGUGAUCGUCAUAUAUGCCUCUAUUUAUUACAAUCAAUGGAUAUUACUUAUACAGUCUGCAAACAUUCAAUACGUGUUCAAUACUAAUACCGAUGGGCAAUUUAAGCGUAUAUGUGAGCGGAUAAUUCAAGGCUUUGACUAACACAGAACUUGUACACAUGUUUGAUGCAACAGGCAGGGCAAACAGCAUUGCCUUGCUUCACAGGAAAGGGGACAGAUGUUCGAAAGCCAGUGACCCUUUACCCAUGUAGAGCCAACCUUGGCCAGAGACCGGAGCCAGGUCCCAGGAAUUCCUGGCCCAGCGCUUUCUGCUCUGUGGCUCUGCACCUCAAGACUUUAAUCUUAAAAACCUAUGUGCUCGAUUUUAUACUUUAAUGCCUAAACUUCGUUUCUUUUUUGCGAUAGGUCUCAAACUUCUCAGCUCGAGUGAUCUUCCUGCCUCAGCCUUCCAAGCAGCUGCACUAUAGGUAGCAGGCCACCACGUCCAGCCAAUGCUAACACUUUAAAUGCACAUUUUUAAGCACAAAGGCAGAAACAGGCUGACCCUAGACACCUCGCAUGGGUACAGGAUCCUCCCUGCCCUGUGUGCUGACUGUGCUGCUCCAAAGGAACUCCUUCUGGAGAAAAAAACACAGGCAGGGCUGCGGCUCUGUGAUAAGAGGAAGAACAUGCUUUGAGACCUCUGCCUCCAGGCCUCCAGCCGGCUCGGCAAGCAGGCCGGCUCACUCGCCACCUCACAGCCAAGGUUCCCUGAACACCAGCCCUGCCAGACAACUAGGUGCUGGGAACUGAUGAACAGAUACAGGGACAAUGCCUCUGCCUCCACGGAGCCUGCAGCCAGCGAAGGAUGAUCACCUCGAGCUCAGAGCCCAGCACUCUGUGCCUAGCCCCAACAGCACUGUGAAGGCUUAAAGACCUAAACGCACCUUACACCAGGGCUUCUCCAAAGUGCUCCCAGCUCCCCUGCAGAUCCGGUUAGGAUGAAGAUUCAGAUCCUGCAGACCCCGGAGUGGGCCCGAGACUGAGUUCCCUGUGACACGGAUGCUGCCUCCUCAGACCGCACUUUGAUGCAGAGAGCUCCGUAGUCACCCCUUGGGCUCGGGUCCACCUUGGCCCUAAGCCUGGCAUCCAGCCAAUGCACUGCGCCACCCUUCACUGUGGGAGGUUUCAAUCUGAAUUAAAUUCAGCUGCCUUUUGCUUUC